UACGUAGGGGGCAAGCGUUGUCCGGAAUGACUGGGCGUAAAGGGAGUGUAGGCGGCUCAUCAAGUUAGAUGUGAAAUCCCGCGGCUUAACCGCGGAACUGCAUCUAAAACUGGUAAGCUGGAGUGCAGGAGAGGUGAGUGGAAUUCCUAGUGUAGCGGUGGAAUGCGUAGAUAUAUGGAAGAACACCAGUGGCGAAGGCGGCCGCCUGGCCUGUUGCUGACGCUGAGGCACGAAAGCGUGGGGAGCGAAAGGG
rnacentral:rRNA from 1 species